ensembl:lncRNA
CUCAGAUUCACUGUUUGUGUAGACUGCUCUUUGCCUUUGUAGGGCAGUUCAGGUGGCUGCCCUGCCCUUUCCCUUAGACUGCCUCAUGUCCCUCAUUUCAACGUGGUACACCUUCCUGAAAACAAUGGCACUAUACUUAGCUUAAAACUGUUCUGCUAGUUCAUCUCCUUAAAGAUUAGAAUGUUCCAAUGUGGUUAGCGAAAAAUAUGAAAGAUAGUUCACACAUUUAUAAUUCACGACAGGGUUAUCAUCCAUUAGAUAUGUCCCAUUUCUGGCUCGUCCAUAACAUGUUUCCUGCUUGUAGCAGGGCGUGUUCACAGGAAACCCUUCUCUAACUAUAAGUCACAUGAUUUAAUGAGAAAAGGUUUCUGCAUUGAUGGUGUGUAAUGUCAAAGUUAAACACACACACACAUAGGCUACUAUUUACUCUAGCUGUCAUUUGACUUUAUUAGUUUUAGCUUCCUUAUACUCUCUGAGGACACAUCUCUCAAGUGACAUUGUAAUUGCAAUUUCCAGGUGAUUAAAAGGUAGAGCAGUUGUUGGUAAAGUCAAUCAAAAAUCAAUCUGGUUCAUUAUAAGUUGCAAUAGGGAGACACCUCCAGCCCAGAAGCAGAGAAAAUAUCUAAUUGGCCUCUAGGAGACAGGCCCUUUAUUUCUCAUUCAGACAGCACCAAAUGUUCUGUAAACACCAGCCUCUUGGAGACAGGCCCUUUAUAUCCUAAUCAGACAGCACCAGAUAAACACCAGCCUCUUGGAGACAGACCCUUUAUAUCCUAAUCAGACAGCACCAGAUAAACACCAGCCUCUUGGAGACAG